CCCGUAGUGUAGCGGUUAUCACGUCGCCCUGUCACGGCGAAGAUCGCGGGUUCGAUUCCCGUCGGG
rnacentral:tRNA from 1 species